rnacentral:rRNA from 1 species
AUACGGAGGGUGCGAGCGUUGUUCGGAAUCACUGGGCGUAAAGGGCGCGCAGGCGGUCUGUUAAGUCAGAUGUGAAAGCCCACGGCUUAACCGUGGAAGUGCAUUUGAAACUGGCAGUCUUGAGUACCAGAGGGGAAGGUGGAAUUCCCGGUGUAGAGGUGAAAUUCGUAGAUAUCGGGAGGAAUACCGGUGGCGAAGGCGACUUUCUGGCUGGAUACUGACGCUGAGGCGCGAAAGCGUGGGGAGCAAACAGGAUUAGAUACCCUGGUAGUCCACGCCGUAAACGAUGUGAACUAGAUGUUGGAGGUGUUGAUCCCUUCGGUGUCGGAGCUAACGCAUUAAGUUCACCGCCUGGGGAGUACGGUCGCAAGAUUAAA